GCACUGGUGAGGAGUCCCACAAUAGGACAAAACGGCCGUCCAGUGC
rfam:Schistosoma haematobium scaffold924_4, whole genome shotgun sequence.